GAGGGUAUAGCUUGGCGGUAGAGGGCGUGUUUAGCAUGGAUGAGGUCCUGGGUUCAAUCCCCAGUACCUCCA
rnacentral:tRNA from 1 species